rnacentral:rRNA from 1 species
UCGCCUACACGAAGUUGGAAUUGCUAGUAAUCGUGGAUCAGCAUGCCACGGUGAAUACGUUCCCGGGUCUUGUACACACCGCCCGUCACACCAUGGGAGCUGGUAACACCCGAAGUUGGUAGCCUAACCGCAAGGAGGGCGCCGCCUAAGGUGGGAUUGAUGACUGGGGUGAAGUCGUAACAAGGUAAC